AUCCUGUGCGUACUGUGGUAUGUUCACGGAUAAGAAAUCACUAUAUAUAGAACAGGAUACACACAUUGUUUAUUUUCCUCAUAGUGCUUCUAGCGUUCAGAUUAACCAUAAUGCUGAUGAAAGUUUUAAUUUUCACGGUGUGGAUUUACGUCAGCGUCCAGGGAAAGCCCCAGAAACUGCAAUACCUGGAGAAACGAUUAUUGGUAGAAUCUCCACUGAUAAUCUCCACAGCCUCUCCUCUUAGCCAGUCAUGCUCUUCGUCUCAUGAUUGUCCCGCGGGCUCAAGUUGCCGAGAUGUCAAUGGUAGAAUUAUCUAUUUAAGGAAAACCGCUUUUGGCUAUGAAAAAAUGUUUAGAGGUGAAGGUACUUGUGGUGCUGGACCGGGACCUAAUGAAGUUUGUGAAGGUUUAUCGGGAUGUCCUACAGAUUAUGAAUGUUAUCGUGAAAUGAGCGGGUAUUGCUGUCCACCAUCACAUUGUGUAACCCAGCAAUAUGCACAAGAGAGAAGAGAUCACUGGGCAAAUUGUCGACCACCUACUUGUCACUUUCCCCACUAAAUAGUGUUUUUAUUCAAAUAGCAGAACAUUCACAAAUAAAUCAAGUGUAUGCAAAUAA